ensembl:lncRNA
GGUGGAGCACUCACAGGUUUUGUGUUUUAGUUGCUGUUCAGGUAAAUCACUCUUCUCAUUAAAGAUAUGUUGGUGUACAGCUAUCAAGCACUUUGAUCAUGUUGUACAGUGAAGGAGAUUUAGUAGAGGUGGGAAUUUAGCGCGUUAAUUGUGAUUAAUUAAUUUGAAAAAAAAAAAAACGCAUUUAAUUGCACUUUGCAUUCCAAGUAAAGGGGAACUUUUGUCAAUGCACGAUUUCCUCGUAUACCACUGAUGCACACAUCGGAGCUACAAAGAGUCAGAAGAAAGCGCAGACUGAUCUCGGACUUUUGAAAUUUCAUUUCAAAAGACUACCCGACAGAAGCCUUGAUAAAAGCGUGGUUUUGUGCAAACUGUGCAAAAAGGAGUUUGCAUUACCACCGAAGCACUUCAACCUGAAGGUACCAUCUAAAUGCAAAACAUAUUGCAACAAGCACAGAAACACUGGGAGCUGUUAACGCUAGAAGGUCGACAAACAAAAGGUGUCGGCAGCCCAAACCUGAUGAAAUGACUGGCUUCAGGACCAAAAUUAGUAAGUCAACAUUUGACAAACUUACAAAUUCUCUCGCACAAUCGAUUGCUCUGAACUUCAGACCACCAUCAUUGGUAGAAGAUGCUGCUGCGCUGAAAGACUAUUUCAAGCCAAAAAAAAAAAAAGCCAAGCACCAUUACAAAAAGAAGGUAGAAGAACACUUCUCCAACUCCAACCCCCGACGCAUGUGGCAAGGACUCCAGACCAUUACAGACUACAGGACCACCAAACCCUCCCCCGCAUCCUCUGAUGUCUCCUUCCUCAACGAGCUCAACAACUUUUAUGCUCGUUUUGAGCGAGGGAACCCCACAAUCACAACCAAAGCAGACGUGACGCCAGACCACCAACCUCUGACUCUCUCCCCCACCGAUGUAGGAGCGGUGCUGAGCAGGAUCAAUGUCCACAAGGCUGCAGGUCCUGAUGGCAUCCCCGGGCGUGUUCUCAGAGCGUGUUCUGGGGAGCUUGCAGGAGUGCUGACAGACAUAUUCAACCUGUCCUUGGCCCACGCUGUGGUACCGGCCUGCUUCAUAUCCACCUCCAUCGUCCCGAUACCCAAAAACUCCAACCCAUCUUGCCUCAAUGACUACCGCCCAGUAGCACUCACCCCCAUCAUCACAAAGUGCUUAGAGCAGCUGGUCCUAGCACACUUCAAAUCCUGUCUCCCCCCCCACCCUGGACCCCC